rnacentral:rRNA from 1 species
UACGGAGGGUGCAAGCGUUAUCCGGAUUCACUGGGUUUAAAGGGUGCGUAGGUGGGUCGGUAAGUCAGUGGUGAAAUCCCCGAGCUUAACUUGGGAACUGCCAUUGAUACUAUCAGUCUUGAAUACCGUGGAGGUCAGCGGAAUAUGUCAUGUAGCGGUGAAAUGCUUAGAUAUGACAUAGAACACCAAUUGCGAAGGCAGCUGGCUACUCGGAUAUUGACACUGAGGCACGAAAGCGUGGGGAUCAAACAGG